CCUCUUGGUGUGCUCUUGCUACGCCGAGACAAGAGUCAUAUCAGUGGAGAUUUUCUUUCCUGGGACACGGUUGCGCUGAACUAUCUGAGAUGCCUUUUCAUCUAAUUGAAUUUCAGGCAAGCGAGGACAUUGCUUUUGUGCCAGUUGACUGGUAUGAUGACGUGAUAGUGUACUUGCCCAGCUGAACGUGUGAAACGGGCAGCUGCUAACGAGGAGAAGCAUGAGCCAAACUGGCCAAGAUAUGACGUAAAGGUCGUCAGAACUUGUGACACCUACGAAGACGCCAUCAGGCUAAUGAAUCAAUAUCAGACCGGCUGCAACGCCUCUGAGCUACAGUCUGAGGCAGAGCAGGAGGGAUAGCUGCCAGAGAAAUGAUUCAGGAAGCCAAUCCAUCGUUUUGGGGACUCUGAUGAGAGUGAAGAAGAGCCAGAAAAUUCGGCUGGUGUUUCAGUUGGAGCCUCAAGCCCAAACCAAUUACACUGGCAGACUCCACCAUCUCACUGAGUGCCAUGCAGCAGAGUCACUACUCCUCAACCUGGAGGAAACUGUCUAGCACCUGACCAUGGGGCCGGACCCCAACACCCUUCACCACCUCAACUCCCUGCACCUGUAUUUAACAUGAGGAGAGUUACUCAAGGAACGGGAGUCCCUCCUCACCUCCCUCCACCUCCCGCACCGGCCCUCAACAUGAGGCGAACAGAGGAGCCCUCUUCAAGCCUGGCCUACAGACCAACAUGGCGAGGGGGAGGAAUGACCGAUACCAUUCCCUGCUCUGCUAUAUUUCAUGUGUCAACAGUGGCUGAGGUCCACAUCCUUAGCUUGCUGGAGACCAUUAAACAACAACAAGACCAGCUUGUGGCAAAGGUGAACUACCUCAGCAGCAGGCUGAACAGCAACCCGGGGCCAGAUGUUGAGAUGCCGGACAAUAUCCAGUUUCCCCUGGAACAAGUGGAGGCAGUGGAGGCAUUUGAAAUGUUUUUAAAGGAACCGUCAAAUGGCCCAGCUCGACAGAGCGUGGUGAGUUUUCUAACUUAAUAUGAAUCUUGCCUUUAGGUUUAUUGAUUGUCCAUGAUUAUUGCAAAUGUUCUAUUGAACAGCCCUGAACAGGCCUGUCCUGAUCCGCCUUUUCCCAGUGG